rnacentral:lncRNA from 1 species
AGAUAAACGGCUGUUUAGAUAGUCUGCUUUUUUGUUUAGCCAUCUAAACUUAAAAUAAAGGGCUGUUUAGAGGAUCUGAUGAAGUUGCUCUAAGCAGCUGAACGAAGGAAUGCGGGGUCUGCGUUUGACAAGUGCGAAACCCAUGGUCUAACUGGGACCAAUCUUAUUCAAGAACCCAAAUCUGCAUCCCUGAUAGUUCCACAAACAGCACAAACAGAAUUUACACAGUUACCACAUACAAAACAAAAAGACUUUCAAGUAUGAGCGUUCAUUUUCUACACAUUCAUGCUCACGCAACGAUUAUCUGUUCUGAUGGUAAGAAGAGCAAUAUACUUGCCAUCUGCAAUGUGCUGCUGCUGUUCAACACCAGGUUGGGAACAAACAAUUGACCAAAUGACUCAAGGUGAAAACAAAACAAGGCAGAGAAGGAAGUCAUGAUUGUCGACGAUGUUGUCUCAGGAAGUACAACUCAGCCACCCGACACAUAUUCACAGUAGUCACCUCAUCAUGCGCUCUUUUUCUGGAUUUAAGAAAACAGAAAGAUGACACCACGAGUUAGCAAUGGUGUGGGCACAUGUUUCCACUGAUAUUCAGGUUUAGUGAUAACUGCCAUAAAAACUUACCCUUUUCUCCUCUUCAAUCUUAGCCUUGAUGUAAGAGUACAUGGCCACACCAGCUAUGGCAAUGGUAGUGCCAAUUCCAGUUUGUGUCGUAAUUCUGUUGCCUGCUCAGUGUAGCGUUUAACAAGUGUUAGAUAGGCCUAAGCACGUUAUACAUAACGGGGUAGCAGGAAAAACAUAUAUGCACUGUUCAUUUCAUGGCAAAGAACUGUGCACUUACCAAAAACAAUGAUUGAAAAACCAAUGACAAACACACGUUUCAACACAUUGCCAACAGCGUGUGUCAGAGGAGCCACUCGCUCCAAAGUAUUUGUAGCAAGCUGUCAUGCCAUGAACCCAUGAUCAGAUUACUUAUGUUAUAACGUAUGAAAGACAGCUCAUCAUAAAAUUGUAUGUCUAUUUGGCAACAUCAUAAUCAAGUAAUGGUAGAUCAGUAAGUGCUGAUAGUAUCGCCCAGGAAAGAAAAUAAUUGUACAGCAUCGUUCUACCGUAACAUUAUGACUUUCUAUGAUGAGCCAGCUCAAAAACUAAUUAAAGAUCAUUCACAUAAAAAGUGCUUCUAUGAUUUGCAUGAUAUGGAGGAACUGGUUACCUGGUUGUACAGAUGGUAGAACAGUCCAACCAAGAAAAGGUCAGUAACAAACUUUUGCAGACCUACUUUUGCAAUAGCGUCGCUAAAUCCGUGCUGCAUCAGUUUUGGCCCUUCAAACUGAACAAUUAUGGAAAUAUAUGAGCAACACCAUUAAGUCUAAUAAAUGAAUCUCUUUUACUACUUUGAGGGAAUGUUCACACUUACAAUCAGUGCAGGUGGAAUGCAAACAAUGAGAGAAAUUAUUGAGAUGUAAGCAUACACGUUGGUGCUAUCCAUGUCGGUCUGCAACGACAAAAACGAUUAGUACAAUAGUUAAGACAAAAGUGCAAAAUAAAGCAAAUCAUAGCAAGCUAAGAGAUUAAAACAAAAGAAGCACAAACCAUAGCUUUCUUGGAAUAAAUACUCCUGUAAGUGAAUGAGAUGUUAGAUAUCAUGGCAUUGAUGAAGCCAGUCCAGUUGAAUGAGAGCUCAGUGAGGGAUGCCAUCGAAACACCUGGUGAUCUUCAUGUGGUUAGAAAGGUUGAACAAGAAAGACAUGUCUAAUUAAAUUGUAGCCAAGUGUUGAAACACAUAGGAAACUAAAAGUUGAAUUGCAGUUGGAGGAAACAAAAAAGAAAAUGGGGGAAAGAAUAAUGCAUCAUGACAUCAAGGUAUCGUUAUUAUGCCAUCUUGCAUUUUACCUUGCCAUAGAUACUGUGAUUAACAACUUAACUAGCAUAUAGUAUCAGAGGACUGAAUUGAGAAUUACCAAUGACAACAGGGGCAAGGGACAACCACAGCGACAAGGGAACCUGCUGUCCAAGGACAAACUGAGUAGCCGCUGCGUUGAAGAAGGGCUCCAGAGCUGUAUUGCGAUUACGAAACAUAAGAACGAGUAUAUAGAGAAGGAAAGGGGCAAGAAGAAUCCACAAUGAAAUAUGAAUGGGAGGAAAAGAAGCACCUUUAAUAGUGUGGGCAAAUGAGACUGCAACAGCAGCGAAGGAGACGUUGCUAGUGACAUGACCAAGAGCAUGGCACAGCGCCACUGGAAAGAGCAGCUUCAGGAGCGUGGAAUUGAUAGGCUACAAAACAAGAUGAUUUCGUGUUGGAUUCAUCGUUGAUUUCCACAAAAGAGAACAAACUAUAUAUAUUGCAGUAAGUACUAGUAGUAGUCCCUAAAAGUGAAAAAAAAUAUGGUGGGUUAGGUUGUCUGCAGAAAUUACCGCACGCUUGGGGAGACCGACAGACCAGCUGAUGAGGCAGUACACGACACCCACUACUAGAUGGAUCAGCGACACGAAGCUGCAAGAAGCAGUACAGGUUCGAGUCAUAAUCAGCUGUAAGUAAGACUGAGUCGAGGGAAAGCGUAGUUGACUUACUAUGGGUAGGGGAAGUAGUUGUAGAUCUUCUUGUUGAGGAUGUUGAAUAUGACGUUGAGGAAGUACCUGCAGAAGAAGUUGCGCGAGUAGUGAUGAAGUAGCUGAGGUCUGAAAACACGCAAUGCAAUGCAGACGCCACGCGAGCAUGUGAAACGUACCACAUGAAGAAGAAGAAGCCGGUGACCAGGGCAGGGUACUUGUCGAAGAAACCCGCGGGCUUGGCCUCCCUGUCGCAAGCAAAUGAGGAAGGCAAUCAUGAGACGAAUGAAGUGCAGGUACUAAACCCUCUCGCAGUCGCAGUGAUGAGUGAUCGGUGGGACCAGCGGCGUCCUUUGAAUUCAAAUGUGCAGUUGCUGAUUCUCGGUGCAGGAGAAUCGAAAACAGAAAGCGAAAUCGCGCAGCUGACGCAAAUGGAUGCUCUCUUUCCAGGAGCGAGCAAGUGGAGUAAUAAACAAAUAGAGGAUAAUUAUCUUAUCAUAUAGAUAGAAGGUUCUAGGAGUAAAGUAAUGGGAGCGUGGAUACUGACUCGGCGGCUGCGGCGGGCGGGCGCAGGGUGUGCCUCCUGGCGGGCUGCGCCGGGAGGAGGGCGGCGGGGAGGAGCGCCGGGCGGAGCUGGCGGCCCCAGACGAGCUGGCCGGCAUCGGGCACGACGGUGCGCUUGAGAGGCGGGAGGUGCGGCGAGGAUGCGAGCCCAGAGGGUGGUGGCGCGGCGCGGCGGCGGAGGCUGAGGAGGCCGGCGACACCGGCGGCGCCGCCGGAGAGCGCGCCGAGCGCCGACAUUAUUGCUGGGGGAUCGGAGGCUUGGCUUUGCUUUGCUUACCUGGGAGGGAAGCUGAGUGUGGGGAGGCGGGCGGGCUCUGGGAUUUGGAGGAUAAGAAGAGGGGAGGGGAGGGGUUUGGGUGGCGGAGACGCGCGCGGGGCGGAUGGAUUCUGGAUAGAGCAACCAACGGCGGGGCGGCGAGGGGAGGCGACGUCCACAGCACCCACACCCAACAGCUCUCAAGACGGGAGAGAGGCCACGCGGGAUAUUUUUCUUUACACCAGCCGAACUCAGCUUCAGCUUCAGCUUAGCUAGGAGGAGCGAAGAUGUGUCUUUAAAAAUGAUAUAUUCACAUGCAUCCUCGUAAAAGAUUAAUUCUUUCUUGGGAUUUGUUACCGAGAACGUUCGAUGCAGCUGGUGACAGCAACAAUUGGAUUAGUAGCACUUAGAAAUGUUGAGACAGAUUACGAAUCAUAAAGCCUGACUGCAAUCCAACCGCGAACAGUGGCAACAAACGAAUAUGGCAGUUAAAAAUCACCUUCUUUUCUGAAAGAUCUUAAUCCAUAAGAUCAUCAUGUGCAAUGCUGAGAAACUGGCACCGGAACAUUGGUUCCAUCUGUAGCUCAUGUGCACCCAUCGAAAUAUGGUGAGAACUGAAUGUUGAAGCGAACGGGCCCACUAUAGCUAGUUCCCAGUCCAUAGGUGGCUUCCUUGAUGGACAGACAGGCCUACAUACCAUUGGGCAAAGUGCUCCGCCGCUCCGCUCCAUCAAGCAAGCCAGGCCGCCACCACCACACCACCAACAGUAGCAGGCUAAAGCUAGUAGGGCGGCCCAAGCCCAAGCUUGGUCACAAUCCUUUGCCAUUCCCUCCUGCACAAUUAGUAUGUCGGGCGGCUUUUCCGUGCCAUGCCAGUAUUUCGCGUCGUAGUAUUAUAUCUUUGAAGCAAUUUAGUUAAGAUAAAUGCGUCGCUUCACUAUCUUUUGUAUAGGUGUCAUGGUUUGCGGCCCGCUGCUACAUUUGGUAUAUAUUUUGGGCACCCUACUAUGGUGAGGCAAUUAUUUAAGUAAUGUAUUAUUUUGGGUAAUAAAGUGGAACUAUGAUAUAUUUUUGCUGUAUUUAUUAUGGUGAAAGAAGGGGUAAAGCAUUUAUUAGGGAGGGCGGAGCAUAAUUAGCCGGUAGCUUAAUGUAGCUUCGAAAUGUGGAGAAUUCGACUUCGAAUCAUGAAAUUUGGCAAUUAAUAGAUGUGACGGUAUUUUCUUUAAGGAAGUAGGGGUUAUAUUAAAAAAACGACGCGUACUUGUGUGUGGAGGUACCAAGAGAAGCCAUAGAGAAAUGGUGGUACGAUAUUAUAUUUUUAGCAAAAUAGGAUCUUGUGUUGCAGUGCUAGUGUCAGUUUUAGAAAUUAUGUAUUCCUGUUGGGUUCAUAUGUUUUUUCGUUACAAGAAUAGGGUCUCAGGUUGUGGCGGGUUAGUUGUGUAAGGUAUGGAGGUUGUUUUUUCAAGAAUAAUACCGGGGACUGCGGGUUGAUUUUCAGUAAAUAGAAGAGAGCAUUUGUCCAAAUGAAUUGCGAGAACAUUUUGAAUUUUAAAAUUUGCUCUAUAAUGAAGUUGCAGUUUUUGAAUUUUUUAUAAAAUUCCAUGUUGAACAACUUUUGAUUCAACAAGUUUUGAUGUUCAAAUUGUACGUAUAAUGUUGCUCGUGUAGAAGUAACGGAUGGAACGGGUUGUGGUUUGAUUUAAAUAAAAUCCGAGAGUUUUUCUAAAAAAAAUCUGAGAGAGGAUCAGGACGGCGGGUUGAUUUUAUGGAAACUUAAGGUUUUCUUUGCAAUUUUUUCUGAACCGGAAAGGUUAGACUGUGGGUUGAUUUGGAGAAAAGUUGUGUACUUUUUCACAAAAUUACCUGAGAGAUGAGGCCGGUCGAGAACUUUUUUGCAAAAUGGCUGGAACUUGCACGGUAUGGACCGUCCACCCGGCUGAUCCGACGGCUGGGGAUGGCCCGCACGCUCGUUGGCCAUCUUUUGGUACAAGAUUCAUAUAUAGAGAUUCUCAGCUUAGCUAUUUUAUUCUCAGAUAUAAUAUAAUUCAUUCAUAGUUGCACUCUCAGCUAGCUGUUAAUGACUUUUACUACUCAAUCCAAAUUGGUCCUCCUCUCAAUCUCUCAAUGAAGAAAACAACAGUUCUAAGGAUAGUUCCAACCCUCCUACUCAGCUGGUUUUCAUAGCACUAAAUAUGUUGCUAUAUAAGCAAAAAGCUAAGGUGACCAUAGAGUUAAUAAGGAGAGAAGGGAGAAUAUGCAAAAAUCAUGUCUACGCGAAAACCAAGACAAAACAAAAGGGAAUAGGGAGAAGAAAAAAGAGGGAAGAGAUAUGAUUGGAUAGCAAUUUAUUUUGUUUUGUUGAAGAAACCAUAAAUUGGGGGAUGUAGGUUUUAACCCUGGCCAGCUGCAGAUUCGGAUGGUUAAUGAUCUGGAAUACUAGCGCUAUUAUUAGGCCAAUUCCAACAUAAAAUACUACUAGCAGUUUCUGUAUUUACCAUAAAUUAGGGAUGUAGUUUUUAAUAGUAUUCCAGAUCAUUAACCAUCCGAAUUUGGAGCUGACCAGUCAACCCUGGCAAACAGAUUCAUUAGAGAUAGAUGUAUGAUUCCCAUGCAUCCUAGCUAGCUAGCUAGAGAAUUACAGUAGCUAGUAUGUAUGUAUGUUCCACCUACAGCCAAUCAUUAAUUCGAAUGUGGAUGCGUGCUUAAAUAUAGUUAGCGUGCUUUCUCAUCAGUGAGAAAAGAAAAAGGCUAGCUAUAGUAGUAACAAUUGCAUGCUAGCUUUAUAGUUAAAUAUUUUUGUGCAAAAGCACAGAUAAGAUGUAAUUAAACUUUAUUAUUGUUGUGAAGAAAGACUUGCAUGCUACAUGAAAGUACAAAGGGAGAUCCGUUUCUUUGCUGCUUGGUAAUAAUUGAUCAUCAGCUGGCGUGCCUGGCCCCCGCAUGCUGUGGGGCUAGCUGAUUGUCUCAAUCAUCACAAACUGAUGGAUCCGGUGCUGGCAACAUAAGUAAGUAUAUAUAUAUAUAGAAACUGAUGGAUUAAUAAGGCAGUGGAAAUUCAUACAAAUUGCAUUAAUUAAAGUAUAUGCUUGGUUCAUCUAUUGAAGAAAAUGAUCGGAAUAAAGAUGACUAUGGUGGCUCAUCCUGAUCGAGAUGGGCAGCAGGGCAAACUGUUGGAGACUCUGUUGAAGAAGCAGGACAGGGCGACCGCCGGCAUCGGAUCGGAGUAGCCAGAAAGAAAAGAAAGCAUAUGCUUCCUACCACCUACCCACCCUGUUAGCAUCGGAGAGAUGCCGCUUUAUUUAUUUGCCAUUUGUGCUAUAUACGACUAUUCCGUUCAAAAAGAAAAAAAAAUACUUUGGUCGUCACAGAUUAUCUAUUUUCACGUCGGUUCUGGCCAUUUUCAUGAGGGCUUCCGGCUCUCACGAAAUUUCCGUUCUCUGACAGUGUAGCGUCCUUCUUUAAUUCACAAUGCAAUGCAGUCUGAACAUUCCAUUCAACGUUCUACUAGCUACAUACUCCCCGAUCGAUUGGGUCUGCUCACAAUAACACAUCAGUUGAGCUUACCGGCCACUAUUAUAUUCCUUGCUUUAAUUUUCCUCCAGAUAAGCCCAAUGUUUCCUUUCAAUUAGUAAAUCGAGCACUGCCUCGUGCUGCCUGCUGAUUAGUUUUAAUCUAGUGUGUAUCAUUAUCAUCAUCAUCACGACUUGUUCGAUUGACUGAUUAAUCUGCUCUUAAAAAGAUUAUAUUGAAACCUUAGAGCCGGCCGGGCCGGGGGAUUGAAGGAGAUCGGAAGGAUCCAAUAUAAUCCCUUUUAACUAACUCGAUCUCUUCAAACCGAACCAACUAUAUAAGGGCUCGGAUGGAUACAUAUACAUAUCGAAGGCGUGCAGUGGCCCAACCUGCUUGAAAGCAAAGCACCACGCACGCCGCCACGCCACGCCACGGAUCUACUAUAUAUACUAGAACAUUUGGUGCUUGUGAGCGUAACAACAGAGAUGAAUGUACAAACAAUAGAUAUAAAUGCAUAUAACAUCAAUCAAAAUGGUAAUAUUGCUCAUUAAUUUCUGAAGUGCCAAGUUAAUCAUCCAUAUCACAAAUCACAUAGCCAACUAAUUCAAUUAAUCAAACAUUAGCUGAACUGAGUCACUCGUGUGCAAUGGCAGCAGCAAUUUAUACAUAAUCACACGCACACCCACCACUUCACUGGUGGUAGCACCAAACUUGGACAAUUAACAAUAUUAUAAUAAUAAGUAAAAGAGCUGUAUGCAAAAAAAAGAGAGGAAAGAACAAAUGCCAGCCGGACUAGCAAGGACAACAACUAAUAGAAAAGGAAAACCAUCCAGGGACCAACCCAAACAAUCACCGCAGCGAAUUAAGGUCAUCUCUAGCUACUCCCCCAUAACAACUUCCAAUAAUCUACCGAGGAACCUUCGCAACCUGCAAAUUACAGAAAGGAUCAAAACAAAUUUCAUCAGUUCUAUUAUUUUUGACCUCUUAGUCAUGGAGAAUUUUAAUGCAUGUAUCAUAGUUUAGUAGCAUUCUGAGAUAAGUCUACACUCAAUCACUUACAUAACUUUCUAGGAUUAGAAUCAUUGUGCUACUAAUGAAAACCUGUGUUGCACUGAAAAUUCAGAGUUUCAGAUUCAGACUACACUUUUAACAAAUAAUUUUGACUUGUUUUUUUUAUUUCCACUCACAGAUAUUCUCAGUACUAAGCAAGCACGCAUCUAUAGUUAGAUCCUGAUGGCGCCAAAAAGAGAAGAUGGAAGCUUCUAGUAGCUAGGUGAGGGCGUCGCCUACCUUCAGACACGCACACAGCAACUCAUUCUACAUAGUCAAAUCAUGCGUAUAGUAGGUGGGAUGUAUAUUAGCAAUCUUGUGAAAGAAAUAACUUUUCAAAUUUAAGAGAGCAAUAUGAACACAAAAUUCUUUCAGCUCUAAUAUCAGUAACUAAGCACUGAGUAUGUUUGUUCUUUCAGAAUUAGCAAAAGAAAGUUCUGUUCCGUACAAAGGAUAUUUACAUCCCAUCUCAGAAUAAUUCCUAAAAGUUGCUUGGCACAUAUUUUCAUCUUGUAUAUUUUUGUAUUGAAAAUCUUUGAUUAAGAUCAUUUAUGUUCCUAUCCCGUUGGCAGACACCUGAAAAUAGAUGAAUGGUUGGGAAUUGACUACCGAAUGCAAGAUUAUGAGAUUAGGCAAAGCUUGCUGCUGCAGUGCUGCUAUGGCUGAUGAAGAAAGUCCUUUAUUUUGUUUGUUGUACCUAGUGUAUUCUAUUUCUUUGACCAAUGACUCUUUCAUCUAUGCUUUGUAAAAACUGAAAUCGUGGAAAGUAACUGCAUCUCCUAUUGUUUGUAUCUCAUAAUGUACUUGGUGAUACUAACUGCAUCUACUCCUACAAUUUGUUACCCAGACAAUAUAACUGUAUCUCCUAUUAGUAAUACUGUUUGGUAACCAAGCCAAGCCAGGCCAGGCCAGGUUAUCAUAUCAUAUAUAGAUAGAAACGGAGACAGAACAAGAUCGAUUAAUUGUUGGAGACUCAUUCCCUUCCUUUUUCUCCAUUCCAUUCUGCUCUCAUAUCAUAUAUACCUAUUCUGUCUGAAGAUUGCAUUGCGGCGUGACAGAAACACACACCGACAGUCGGGCAGUCGACGACAGGAAGCCAAAGCGUUGAACAGAGCACAGCAGCGGUUUGACCCAUGGGACCCACUUCCCCCACCGUAGCAUUGCAUGAAUGGACGAAUUUUCUUAAAAGAAAUUGAAUUUGAAUGAAGCCAAAAACGAAAGACACAGGCAGGCAGACACAUACUGUAUUUUACCAUUUUAUAUUACUAUUCCUACUACUGCAAUACGAGUAUUUUAUUUAUUUACUACUGUAGUACUACUUUGGAGUAUUUUAUUUAUUACGGUACGGCACCCUAGCAUAGCAGCAGCAGCAUCAGCAGCAGGACUAGUCGUCUACGAGUCCUCGGCACCGGCACGGCAGUCUCCAUCCAUCCCCACCACCAGCCUAGCAGCCGGCCACCACUUGCAGGCCCGCCCAGUUGCUUCCUUCCUCAUUCACUCAUCACUCGCUCGCUCACUCCCCCAUCUGGGCCAUCUCCGUCACCUCCUCCCCACCACCAUAACCACAGCAGAGCAGAGAAGAGGCCGGAGAAAUUCUCUCCACCCUCUGCCGUGCCGCUGAUGCCGACGCCUCCUCCCUCCCCACCAGACUUCUCUGCUCACAACCAAAAUUAACUCAACCACCAUGGCCGCCUCCUUCCUCCUCCUCCUCCUCCUCCUCCUCCUCGCCAAUGGUGCCGCCCUGCUGCAGGCCUUGAACCAGGACGGCCUCCACCUGCUCGACGCCAAGCGCGCGCUCACCGUCCCCGCGCCCGCGCUCGCCGACUGGAACCCGCGCGACGACACGCCCUGCAACUGGACCGGCGUCGCCUGCCACGACCACGACGGCGCCGUCACCGCCGUCUCCCUCCCCAGCCUCAACCUCGCCGGAUCCUUCCCCGCCGCGCUCUGCCGCAUCCCGGGCCUGCGCUCCAUCGACCUCUCCGACAACUACAUCGGACCCGACCUCGACGUCGCCCGCUGCAAGGCCCUCCAGCGCCUCGACCUCUCCGUGAACGCGCUCGUCGGCCCGCUCCCCGACGCCCUCGCCGACCUCCCGGACCUCCUCUACCUCAACCUCCAGAGCAACAACUUCUCCGGCCCCAUCCCGGAACCCUUCGCGCGCUUCACCAAGCUCCAGUCGCUCUCCCUCGUCUACAACCUGCUCGGCGGCAAGGUCCCGCCGUUCCUAGGCCGCGUCGCAACGCUCCGGGAGCUCAACCUCUCCUACAAUCCCUUCGCGCCGGGCCCCGUGCCACCCCAGCUCGGUGACCUCUCCGCGCUGCGGGUGCUCUGGCUCGCCGGCUGCAACCUCGUCGGAACCAUCCCGCCCUCACUCGGCCGCCUCACCAACCUCACCGACCUCGACCUGUCCACCAACGCGCUCACCGGCCCCAUACCGCCGGAGAUUACAGGCCUCACCAGCGCCGUUCAGAUCGAGCUCUACAACAACUCCCUCACCGGACCCAUCCCCACGGGCUUCGGCAAACUCCAGGACCUCAGGGGCAUCGACUUCGCCAUGAACCGCCUCGACGGCGCCAUCCCGGAGGACCUCUUCCACGCGCCCAGGCUCGAGACCCUGCACCUCUACGCCAACGCGCUCACGGGGCCCGUGCCGGAGUCCGUCGCCAAGGCGCCGUCGCUCCUCGAGCUGCGCCUCUUCGCCAACAGCCUCAACGGCACGCUGCCCGCCGACCUCGGCAGGAACACGCCGCUCGUCUGCCUCGACAUCUCCGACAACGCCAUCUCAGGCGAGAUCCCGCCGGGGAUAUGUGACCGCGGCGAGCUGGAGGAGCUGCUCAUGCUCGACAACAGGCUGUCCGGCCGCAUCCCCGACGCGCUCGGCCGCUGCCGGAGGCUGCGCCGGGUGCGCCUCUCCAACAACAGGCUCGCCGGUGACGUGCCCGACGCGGUCUGGGGCCUCCCGCACAUGUCGCUUCUCGAGCUCAACGACAACCACCUCACCGGCCAGAUCUCCCCGGCCAUCGCCGGCGCGGCCAACCUGUCCAAGCUCGUGCUGUCCAACAACCGCCUAACCGGGGCCAUCCCGUCGGAAAUUGGAUCCGUCUCCAAGCUCUACGAGCUCUCGGCCGGCGGCAACAUGCUGUCUGGCCCGCUCCCGUCCUCUCUCGGCGGCCUGGCGGAGCUCGGCCGUCUCGUGCUCCGCAACAACUCGCUCUCCGGCCAGCUGCUUCGGGGCAUCGAGUCAUGGAAGAAGCUCAGUGAGCUCAACCUCGCGGACAACGGCUUCACUGGCUCCAUACCGCCGGAGCUCGGUGACCUGCCCGUGCUCAACUACCUCGACCUCUCCAGCAACGAGCUCAGCGGCGAGGUCCCGGUGCAGUUGGAGAACCUGAAGCUCAACCAAUUCAAUGUGUCCAACAACCAGCUCCACGGCCCGCUGCCGCCGCAGUAUGCCACGGAGGCGUACCGCGGCAGCUUCCUGGGCAACCCUGCGCUGUGUGGGGAAAUUGCCGGUUUGUGUGGCGGCGAUUCCCAAUCAAGGAAGAACUUCCACUCUGGCUUCGCCUGGAUGAUGCGCUCCAUCUUCCUAUUUGCGGCUGCCAUUCUGGUCGCCGGAGUCGCGUGGUUCUACCGGCGGUACCGGACCUUCAGCAGGUCCAAACUGAGAGCCGACCGCUCGAAAUGGACAUUGACAUCCUUCCACAAGCUGUCAUUCAGCGAGUAUGAGAUCCUGGAAUGCCUUGACGAGGACAAUGUCAUCGGCAGCGGGGCAUCCGGAAAGGUGUACAAGGCGGUGCUCAGCAACGGCGAGGUAGUCGCCGUGAAGAAGCUGUGGAGCGCGGCGGCGGUAAAGAAUGGCGGUGGCGAGGGCUCAGCUGCGGACGACAGCUUUGAAGCCGAGGUGAGGACGCUGGGCAAGAUUCGGCACAAGAACAUCGUGAAGCUCUGGUGCUGCUGCGCCCACAAGGAGUGCAAGCUGCUGGUGUACGAGUACAUGCCCAACGGAAGCCUCGGGGACGUGCUGCACAGCAGCAAGGCGGGGCUGCUGGACUGGGGAACGCGGUACAAGAUCGCGCUGGAUGCAGCCGAGGGGCUGUCCUACCUUCACCAUGACUGCGUCCCGGCCAUCGUCCACAGGGACGUCAAGUCCAACAACAUCCUCCUGGAUGCGGAGCUGAGCGCCCGUGUGGCCGAUUUCGGGGUGGCCAAGGUGGUGGAGGCCAAGUCCAUGUCGGUGAUCGCCGGCUCCUGCGGUUACAUUGCGCCUGGUAUGUCCGUCCGUCUGUCUGUCUGGGAUCAUAUCAUACAUAUGAAUAUAUGAUUGCUGCUGCUGCUGCUGAUUUCCUUUACAAUGAUUCAUCAUUGCUUGGUAACACUGUCUGCAGAGUAUGCGUACACGCUGCGCGUGAACGAGAAGAGCGACACGUACAGCUUCGGCGUGGUCCUCCUAGAGCUUGUGACCGGGAAACCGCCGGUGGAUCCCGAGUUCGGGGAGAAGGACCUGGUGAAGUGGGUGUGCAGCACGCUGCAGCAGAAGGGGGUGGAGCACGUCGUGGACAGCCGGCUGGACAUGAGCUGCUUCAAGGAGGAGAUGGUGAGGGUGCUCAACAUCGGGCUGCAGUGCGCGAGCUCGCUGCCUAUCAACCGGCCGGCGAUGCGGAGUGUGGUGAAGAUGCUGCAGGAAGUGCGCGGGGAGGGUAGGCCGCGGGUGGACAAGGACGGGAAGCUGUCGCCGUACUACUACGAGGAUGCCUCGGACCAAGGGAGUAGCUAGCGUGUGCGCGCCUCCUCCAUGACUUGCUUAAGCUUCCCUACUGUACUAUGUACGUAGCAACAAGGUUCCCUCUCAUGGCAGCUGAAAUUUGAAAGAAGAGUUUUCUCCGGUUGCUGUGUCUGUGGGGUACGUUUGUCGUUGCAUUCAAAUGUUGGUGGAUGUUUGCAUCGCCAAGCAUGGAAUCAAAUGUAUGCAAUUGUAUUAUAUUAGUAGCUAGCUUGCUGUCUGUCUCUCCGAUCCUCUUAGGGGGUGUUCGUUUCCGGGUACCUAAAUUUUAGAGGGGUCACAUCAAAGAGAAUCUUAUCAUUUAGAAGUAUUAAAUAAAGUCUAAUUACAAAACUAAUUGCAGAACCCUAGUGCUAAUUCGCGAGACGAAUCUAAUGAGGUAUAUUAGUCCAUGAUUAGCGAACAAUUACUGUAGCAUCACUGUGGCAAAUUAUGGAUUAAUUAGGCUCAUUAAAUUUGUCUCGCGAAUUAGCAUCUAGCUGUGCAAAAAGUUUUAUAAACAGAUUUUAUUUAGUACUUCUAAAUAGCAAAAUUCUCUUUGAUGUGAUGGGUCUAAAAUUUAGAUAGGAGGAAACGAACACGCCCUUAGUCAAUCAGCCUGGCCCAGCACCAUAACUCCAUAGUGCUAACUAAGGUGGUUGUACAUGUCGGAUGUCUGAAGCUAUGUUUGUUCUUCAGAGUCGGUCGGUUGAACAGCCAAGGGAGGAAGAAAUGGUGAUUGAUUCUGAAAAGAAAAAUGAACCGCUGCACCGUACCUGGAGCACGAUACAAUAUGCGGUGGCCUGCAGGAAAGAAGAAGAGCGGAUCUUUGCACUGUACAAUAUGUGGUUCUGGAAACAGUUUCCGAGAUGCUGGAGGCUUGCACAGGAGUCAUGCAAGUUUGAAGACGCAGCAGCGGCGGCGGCGGGCGUGGUGUCGGUGGGUUGGGUUGGGCGUUGAACACAACAACUACUACUACCAUAGUAGAAGAGAGCAUCGAUCGGCUCGGAGACAGACACACACAUGGUGGUGGUGUGCUUAGCGCCACCGUCCGUCCGUCCGUCUGUCUUGUGUUUGACAGCCAGUCCAGACCAGACCCGACCCGACCCUGGGUCUCUGCAUGACAUGGCAGCCGUACCAAUCAACAGGUUUUUGUACUCGAAUCGAAGGAAAACGAUUUCUCUUUUCCUAGACUAGAGAAGGGGGCGGGGCGUUCCAAGAGAAAAAAAAAAUACUGUUGCGUUGGGCCCAUCCAUCAAGAUAGGGAGAACCUUUCGUGCAAGAUAGUGAAUGGGCCAGGCCCAAGACAAAGCCAGGUCUUGGGCUCGAGCAGAAUGUAAGAAUGGGCCUACAUGAACUGAUCGACAUGCCUGGUCUGGGCUGUGACGGCCCAAGGCAUCGCGUGAUUUGAAUCGGGUGCCAUCAUCCUCCUGCUGCUGCCUGCUGGCAAUGGCAUCUUGCCUGCCUGCGCCACCGUGUCACGCAGGGGUGGAUGAGGAUGAGGACAAGACGAAGGCAAGGCCGAAGGCUUCCCUUCUUCCCUUCCCGUCUCCCAACUCACCAUCCCCAAACGCAUCUUCCCGGACGAGGACGAGGUCACCAACCCCAGCACCCCCCCAAGAUCCUCGCCGCCGACCCCUACGGCCACCUCCUCCUCCACGCCUCCCAACCGUCAUUGACCGCCCCAAAAACCACUCCUGCUGCUGGCGCCAGUUAGUAGCCGGAUACUUCGUCCUCAAUGCCGCCGCCGACUCCUCCACGCUCCCCCUCCCCGAGCCCCAACUCAUCAUCAACGCCGCCAACCUCGGCAUCAUCGCCUCCCCCACUGCCUUCGCCGGCUACAUGGUCGCCGAGCUCCAGCCCUUCGUCGGCGACGAUCACGCCACCCUCCUCUGCUUCUCCUCCGACGUCGGCGAGUGGGUCGACAAGACCAUCAGCUACCCGUGUUAGCAUCGUGGAUCGACUACCACGUGAAAAUGAUCGGAAGAAGUCGAGUAGAUCUAAUACAAGUCGAGUGCGAGAGAGAGAGAAGGGGCACGGGAUCUAUACCGUCAUGGCCCUGCAUCGCAGGAGCUGCAGAGGGGCCGCCAUCGUCUCGGGUGGCGGUGAUGCUAGGGGUAGUCGAGCUUCGGGUCGCAACCGAGGGAACGGGGAUGAGGCAGCGAUGUUGAUGAUGGCCGUAGGUGGAUCUUCCCACCGCUGCUGCGCUUCCACUAGAUCGGCUAGGGUUUAGACUGUCAGUGGGGUGGCGGCGGCGGUGAACCUCGUACCCUGUGCCGCUGGCCCCCACCUUUCUUUUAUAGCGCAGUGCGACGGGGGCCCACCAGCUACGAACGAGCUGGAGCGCCCCCGAUCAGGGCGCGGGUGAGAGGAGGCCCAUCGGGCCCGUUAGGGUCCGAGGGUCUCUGGGAGAUCAAUCCAACGGUCUCCCCCUUGAUCUCACCCUGUACUUUUCUUUUCCUUUCCAUUUACUUUUACUCGUUUCGUCAUAGAUUUGUGUAUAGAGCAUGCCUCAUCAUCACGAUCAACUGCCGGUAGAUUUAGCAGCUACAAUAUAUGCUUCCAUUUAGAAACAGAUUCUUUAACCUUUUUGGACCCUUGUAGUCCGAAAAUCACAGGCUAUCCCUUAGUCCCAUGCCGGCUACGUGUUUCUUGAACACGCUGGGUGGUAAGCCUUUCGUUAACGGAUCCGCAAGCAUCUUUACUGUGCUUAUAUACUCAAGACUUAUAAUCUGAUCUCGGACUUUGUCUUUCACAACAUAAUACUUUAUAUCAAUGUGUUUGGCAGCACCACUUGUCUUGUUGUUGUGUGCAUACAUUACUGCAGGCUCAUUGUCGCAGUACAACUUUAGUGGUCUAGAUAUGUCAUCGACCAUUCUCAGUCCGGGCAUAAACUUCUUAAGCCAGUUCACCUGCCCCGUAGCCUCAUAACAUGCAACAAACUUGGCAUACAUUGUGGACGAUGUAGUGACAGUUUGUUUGCAACUUUUCCAUGAUAUUGCUCCCCCUACGAAGAUGAACACAUACUCAGACGUGGAUUUUCUAUCAUCUCCUGCAUAAUCGGAGUCUGAGUAUGAUACGUAGGGAUUCUGUUUUUCUGUAUGUCAAUAUGAGGCCUUUUGUUUGUUGCAAAUACCGCAGGACUUUCUUUACUAACUUCCAAUGUUCUGGUGCUGGAUUACUCUGGAAUCUGCCAAGCAACCUGGUAACAUAAGCUAUAUCAGGGCGUGUGCACACUUGUGCAUACUGUAAGCUUCCCACAGCUGAAGCAUAUAGUACCAUCUUCAUCUGAUCAACUUCAUAUUGAUUCUUGGGAUAUUGAAAUUCCCCAUAUCUGUCGCCCUUAACUAUAGGUGCAGGUGAGGCACUGCAUUUAUGCAUAUUGAAUUUCUUUAGAACCUUUUCUAUAUAUAUAUCUUUUGAGACAUUCCUAAUACCCCUUUCACUCUGUCUCGAUGAAUUUUGAUUCCUAAAACAAAUCUGGCUUCACCAAGAUCUUUCAUCUCAAAAUGUGAGGACAACAAACUUUCGUUUCUAGUAGCAGACUGACGUCACUACUUGCCAGUAGGAUAUCAUCCACAUACAGGAUUAGAAAGAUAUACUUCUCAUUCUUGAACUUUGUGUAAACGCAAUUGUCCUCAACAUUUUUUUUGAACCCGAACUCUUUUAUUGUUUUAUCAAACUUCAAGUACCACUAUCUUGAAGCUUGCUUUAGCCCAUAAAUUGAUUUCUUUAGAUGGCAUCCCAACUUUUCUUUACCUUCCAUGACAAAACCUUUCGGUUGUGCCACGUAGACGAUUUCAUCCACAUCCCCAUUUAGGAAUGCUGUCUUCAUAUCCAUCUGAUGUAAUUCUAGAUUAUAAUGAGCCACAAGGGCCAUUAUAAUUCUGAAGGAAUCUUUACAUGAGACUGGAGAAAAAGUCUCAUUGUAAUCAAUCCCUUCUCUUUGUGUGUAUCCUUUUGCCACGAGUCAUGCUUUAAUUUAUCUAUAUUCCCUUGGGAGUCAUAUUUGGUUUUGUAGACCCAUUUGCAGCCUACUGUCUUGGCUCCUUUAGGAAUUUCCUCUAAGUCCCAAACUUCAUUGGUACUCAUCGAUUUGAUUUCAUCUUUCAUGGCAUCAAGCCAUUUGGAUGCGUAUUCACUUCUCAUAGCUUCUUCAAAUGAGGUGGGAUCAUCCUCCAUUUGAACUUCUUCGCUAUUAUAGACUUCAUAAUCAUCAGGAAUAGCGGACUUCCUUAUCCUUUGAGGUCUCCCAUAGGCCUGAGCCUAUCGUGCCCCAUCUAUUUGGGGCUGCUCUUGCUCCCCUUCUUAUAUGGUAACUGGUUCUUCAGAAGCCUGAUGGAUAGGUUCCACAUCCUCAUUCAUUGUUACCAAAGGAGGAGCCACUGCAGGUGUUGGCAUCGCAGUGACUUGCACUGGCGGUGCAGUUACAGCGGGCAGCGAGAAGAAAGAUUCCUGAAUCACGGGAUUGGGUGUAUAUAUCCGCUUCUCCUCAAGAUCAAUCUUCCUAAUUGUUCCGCUCCCUCGGAUCAUUUCAUCUUCAAGGAAGAUUGCGUGUCUCGUUUCUACAAAUUUUGUGGAUCUGUCUGGGCAGUAGAAACGAAAACCCUUUGACCUUUCUGGUUAGCCAAUGAAAUAACAAGAUACUAUUUUAGGAUCUAAUUUCGCAAUAGUCAGGUUAAAUACUUUUGCCUCAGCAGGACUCCCCCGCACCCGCAGGUGAUUCAAUGAGAGUACUCUUCCUGUCCACAUUUCAUAUGGUGUCUUUGAUACCGAUUUACUAGGAACUCUGUUGAGAAUAUGAAUGGCGGUUUUCAAAGCCUCCAUCCAUAAACUCACUAGCAAUGUAGAAUAGCUGAUCAUGCUUCGCACCAUAUCCAUCAGGGUACGGUUACGUGUUUCAGCCACUCCGUUCUGCUGAGGUUCGCUCGGCAUUGAGUACUGGGCAACUAUGCCUUGCUCCAUCAGGAACUUUGCAAAAGGUCCUGAAACUUGGCCAUAUGGGGUAUGUCGACCGUAGUAUUCCCUUCCACGAUCGGAUCUUACAAAUUUAAUAUUUAAAUCAUAUUGAUUUUCUACUUCAGCCUUGAAUAUUUUGAAUUUAUCCAAAGCUUCAGAUCUUUCUUUAAUCGGGUAAAUAUAUCCAUAGCGGGAAUAAUCAUCUGUGAAUAUUAUGAACGAGUCAUAACCAUCCACACUCUUUACAUAGAACGGACCACAGAUGUCUGUGUGAAUUAUCUCUAAUACAACUGUGCUCCUUUUGGCAUUUUUCUUUAUUUUCUUCACGAAUUUUCCUUUUAUGCAUUCAAUGCAUUGUUCUAAAUCAGAAAACUCUAAUGGAGGAAGAAUCUUAUUUUUAACUAAUCUUUCUAUUCUCCCCCUCGAAAUAUGGACUAAACGACAGUGCCAUAAUUUCGAUGACGCAUCAUGAGUUCUUUUCCGUUUUCUAUUCGCGAGUGUAGACGAGAAUACAUUCGCGUUGUUAUCGCAUACGGAAUUCACACUUUCAUGCAACGAUAUCAAAUAAAGAUCGUUCCUUCUGAAUGCAAUAGAAAUAACUUUAUCAUUACAUUCUAUUAAACACCUGCCAUCUCCAGAAAGACAGGUAUAAGCAUCUUUGUCCAGGCACGACACACUAAUUAAGUUCCUCUGUAAAGAAGGUACAUAUAAAAUAUCUCUAAGAAUUAUGAUAAAGCCAAUAUCGAGUUCCAAGUGAACAUCACCCACUGCUUCAACAUCGGCCUGGGCUCCGUUGGCAACUUUAAUUUUCCUUUCGCUUCCUUGAGUGGUUCUCGUCGAACGGAAUCCCUGCAAUGAAUUUGCAACAUGAAUAGUUGCUCCUGAAUCAAUCCACCAAGUGGUUUUGGAAUAUUCUGUAUAUAGGGAUUCUUUUACAAACGAAAUAAUAUUCUCAUCUCUGUUUUCCAUGAUCAUCUUUAAGUAUCUAUGAUAAUUUUUCUUGUAAUAUCCCCUUUCUUUGCAGUAGAGACACUGGUCCUUCUCUACUAGAACUUGUCCAUCUUGAGGUCUGUGUUGAAGCUGAUGAGAGCCUUUUCCUUUAGAGGAGGAAGAAGAAAAAUUGCCCUUGAAGUUGGCAUUCUUUUUUCUGUUCACAUAGUUUAAAGAUCCGCCAGUGGUGGACUUUAUCCUUUCCUCCUCCUGAACACACAUCGCAAUGGUCUUUUCUACAUCCCAAGUAUGUGGCUGGGUGUUAUAGUUGACAACAAAAGUAUCAAACUCUUUAGGCAACAAAGCAAAAACCAAAUGGACAAUGUGAUCCUCCUUGAAGGUAAGGUCCAAUGAUUUAAGCUUGUUGUUCUGGUUGACCAUACGAUGAAUAUGCUCUCUGAUGCCGCCUCCAUUGUAUCUUUCUGAAACCAGUUGUUUGAUUAACUGGGUUGCAUAAGUCUUUGAAGAACCAGUAUACUGGUUUUUUAAUUUCUCAAGAUACUCUGUGACAGUGGCACAAUCUGGUAUUGAGCCCAUAAUGGCAGCUUCAAUAGUGUUCUUUACCACUGCCAAGCAUUUCUUGUUGGCAGGGAACCAUUUUACAUAAAGCCUCUCAUAAUCUGUUUUUGCUUUCUUAUAAGAAAGAUCUGUUUGCUUCCAAGAAGCAUCUUUGUCUGUGUCCUCCCUCAUAGGAAUCACUGGCUCUGUGGGAGUCGGUGUAGCUAGGACCCAAUCCAGUUCACCCAUAAUGAAAUACAGAUCUAGUUUUCUGUACCAUUCAUGGUAAUUAUCUCCCUUUAAGAUAUGAAUAUCAUUGAUGGAAAACAUCAUUGAUAACCCUCCUGAAAACAAUUCAUGAGUGGUGAAAAUAUUAAAAUAAAUUCGAAUAUAUUGUUGCAUAUUUUAAAACAACGUUGGUCAGAAUUUAAAACAUGCAAUAACCUUUUGUACACAAGCACAUAGACACGCUUUGGUUUGAAUAAUGCCUGGUCUUUUGGCUCUUGUGUGGACACACUUUGUACAGCCAUGAUUGAGAAACCGAGCCACAGUAGUUGCACAUACUAAUAUAAUUUAGUCCUGUGACCACCCUGCCUUUUGUCUUGUUCCAAGGUCCUUUUCUUGUUCCAUGAUACACCGUUGGGCAUAAUUAGAAUUAAUACAUGAAAAAAUAUCUAUCAAAAAAUAAUACCAUAGUAAUUGUAAUAUUUUCAUUGUCAACGUUGGUCAGAAAAUAACAAUACUACAAUUCAAAAUAAUCUAUUUAUCUUGAAAUUUUAAAUUCUCUCGUUGGUUCAAAUUUAAAUGACAAGACAAGCAAUUAUUAGAAAAUUAAUCUAUUGAAUCUUUGCAGCGGAAAAAUCAAAUUCUAUCAAAAUUACGUCUAAUUUUAUCUUUUGGAAGCACUGCAUCAAAGUUCAAUCAAAUUUGAAUUUGAAAUGCACCAAAUUCAUUGAAAUUCUAUUGAAAAAUGACUUCUGAAAAAAAAGAAAACCGAUGCACUGUGCUACUAUUAAUCCAGCCCGCCCGGCCUUUCUUGUGCGCGGCGGCCCAGCGGGGAAAAUGACCCGCACGCACCGCAGCCCACGGCAAACAGCCCGUUAAGGGCCUGCCUGCGCGCCCGCGCGUGCGCUCGCGGCCGCGCGCAAAACAACCUGGCUCUGAUACCAUUGUUAGCAUCGUGGAUCGACCACCGCGUGAAAAUGAUCGGAAGAAGUCGAGUAGAUCUAAUACAAGUCGAGUGCGAGAGAGAGAGAGAAGGGGCACGGGAUCUAUACCGUCAUGGCCCUGCAUCGCAGGGCUGCAGAGGGGCUCGCCAUCGUCUCAGGUGGCGGUGAUGCUAGGGGUAGUCGAGCUUUGGGUCGCAACCGAGGGAACGGGGAUGAGGCGGCGAUGUUGAUGACGGCCGUAGGUGGGUCUUCCCGCUGCUGCUGCGCUUCCACUAGAUCGGCUAGGGUUUAGACUGUCGGUGGGGUGGUGGCGGCGGUGAACCUCGUACCCUGUGCCGCUGGCCCCCACCUUUCUUUUAUAGUGCAGUGCGACGGGGGCCCACCAGCUACGAACGAGCUGGAGCGCCCCCGAUCAGGGCGCGGGUGAGAGGAGGCCCAUCGGGCCCGUUGUGGUCCGAGGGUCUCUGGGAGAUCAAUCCAACAACCCGCUCCCCGCCCGACCCUUCUCCUCCCACGCCGUCCUCUCGCUCCAUGGCAGGCUCUGCCGGCCAAGCCGCUCAACUACGGCCAGGCUGCCGCCGUGCUUGACAGGUACCGCGCCCUCGGGGUCAGCAACGGCAAGCUGUGCUUCGUCGACAUGUACAGAAAUCGGGACCCCACCGGCGCGCUCCAGGUCACCGUCUGGACGUACGCUGCCGGACCCGGACUCCACCGAGUGGGCGCUGGAGCACCAAGCCAGCUUCCACCACAUCUGGGCUCACCCCACCUACAAGGCCGCCGGACUCCCCACCAAGAUUCCCGUCCUCGCGCUCAUCCACCCCGACAACUCCGCCGUCGUCUACUUCUUCCUCGACCACCACCUCUUCGUCUACAUUUUGUAGGUUGGAUACCUAGUGUGACUAUUAAGCUGCUUUUAUACUGUUCCAAUUUCUAAUGGUAUUAGUACACAAUAACGUAUUUAUUUACAAGUUCGUUAUAUCUUCACUACUUCACUUGUUGCUUUACUUGAUUUCUGCUCACUGAGGUUGGACAAAGUUGCUCGACAUUAUUAUGCCAUCUGAUUAGUCAUGCUAGUUGUUGGAUAUAAUGCACUGCAAAACAAUUCUUGCAUAAAGUGGACAAUUGAACAUUUUUGGGUAUACUUUUGGCUGGCUUCACUUCAUUACGCGGCAAUAUCUGUUCUGCUCUUGGGAAAUCUGGCAUGUAAAUUACUGCUCACAAUCUCUUACUCUAUUUAAGAUGCUUCCCCACUUACUAAUUCUUGUUACUCCAAUGUAUUGCAUCAUAUAAAUGAUUUCAUAUGCCUGACUCUGCUGAGUGAUUUUUUCUGAAGCAUACCUUUGACUGAGCAUUCAUUAUAUUUCGAGCUGAUUUCCUGUAUAUUCUUUUCGAUGUGUUGGAAAUUAUCGCCUUUUCAGUCCAUAUGUACAGUUUGGUCAUGAGCAAAGAUAUUGUCUUCAGUCUGUAGCUGCAGCAUCAAUGUACAAUUGUUUUUAAUAAUAUGGCAUAAAACUCAUAUGUCCUGCAUGAUGAGUGAUUGCUGUCUGUUUUGUUGAAUACAUGCUUCAAGUCAGAUUGCGUCUGUAAAUUAAAGCAUGACUUUUUUUUUUGAAAAUAAAGAUGGAAUGGUGUUAAGUUGUAACUAAGAAAGAUAUUACUAUGUGUUUGAAGGUCUUGCUAAGGAGGAUACUGACAGUGGAUCGCAUGACGUGGACGCAACAGCGUCAGCGCAUAUCUGGUGAACACCCGAAGUUAGGGGCCGGGAAUAGUGGUUAUCCUUUUGUCAGGUGAGGCUAAUAAGUUGUUGACGGCAAUUGCCCAGAUAUAUAGUGUUUCCCUGGACAAUGCAUCAUGUGUUGACAUGGAUGGAAGCAAUCGUAGGUUGUCUUACGCACCGGCACCAUGAUUUUGGUUUGUUCCUGCAGGUCGAGGAUACAUCAAGUUACUAGAGCAGUGUGUCGCUGGAGCAUUUCAUGAGGCAGUAGACUAGAGACUUUUUGUGAUGGUUUGGCAUGAUUUGGUGGUUGCUUUCGUUUGGGUGGAUUUUGUUGUUGGUAGAAGUUGCCAAGAAAACAGGAAGGCCUGAAAGCAGCAGAAACAUUUGUCUCUGAACGUGAAUUUUGAGUGAUUCCUGUCUGUGUUAUGAUGCAUGCAAGCUCAUGUGAACAGGAUCUGUGGUCAAACCAGUUUUCGAUGCAUGUUUAAUUUACUGGAAUUGUAUGUUACAUAUAUUUGGAAACAGCUGAAGAAAAGAGAGGAAUGAAAGAGAGGCAGAAGAGCAGUGCAGGCUGAGACGAGCGACUGAGCGAGAAGGGAAGACAGGCUAACUGGCAAAGGAAAACCCAUGCUUGCUCAGUUGCUCUGCUGUGUUCUGCUCUGAAACUGUCAAACUGAUCCCUCCCUGCUCUGCUUCAAUCUCUUGUGCUGGUUGCAAAAUGGUGUUCCCUUGUAGUAGUAUCGAGUUCGAUGAUGGAAUUAUGCGACUGAGGAUGAAUGGACAUGAGCGCUCAACUGGUUUGGAUUUUUUGAGUUACAUUUCGGGGGGAAAGAACUGUAUGUAAAAGAUGCGAUCUGUUGAAACAAUAAUUUUCCGUGUUGCCAAUGCAAGUCUGUUUCUUCUUCUCACUUGCCAUCAAGCCUGAUCGUUUUGCGCAAAAUGAACAGACCGAUCCAUGCCGGACAAAGCUUUCUGCUGCUUUCUGUAGUUUGGAUGCUCUCAUCUCAGGCUGCCACCCUGCCUCUGCUCUGCUUUUCUCGCUGCGCUGCGAGCUUCCAAUCCAACCUGGCAACCUCGUCUGUCUCCCCCGGUUGCCGACCCGGAUGAUACGGCCGGAGGCAAGGCUCCCAGGUCCCCGCGCGUCCUCAGCUCCGCGCAUGGUCGUAGGCCGGCUUCCAGUUCCAGUACCGUCAGAGUCUUACCGGGAACGUGGUACGGUACCACGUUCCCUGUAUCGAAAAUGUGGGUAUAUUUUUAUUUUAAUAGUAUUUUAGAUAACGUACCACGUUUUACGUUUCUCGAUGAAUCGAUCUGAAAAUUUUUAUAAGCGUGAGUACAUUACUUGGUCGACGACCCCACGGCCCGGCUGCACUUACUUAUUAUCCCAAUUCGUAAGUUAUGAAAUUUACUACAGUACUUCGAAAUAAUUAUGACUCCACUAAAUAUUUAUUAUAUAUAUUAAAUUCCAAAAAUAGGAAAAAUAUAGGAACAUCUUUCUACUGGAUCUAACUUCCAUGCAUGGUCGUAGUGUUUCUUCCAACCCCACACCCCAUCCCAACAUGAACGUGACAUGCGUAACAGGUAACAUGGCCGUUCCAUUUUCUCCUACCGUGAAGGUGACAUGGAUUUUUUCAAAGAAAAAGAAAAAGAAUGUGAUAUAGUCGCCCUGCAAGUGGGGUGAGCGUCGAGCUGCAUCCACACCAAUCCAUUCUCAGGAGAGAAAUAAAUAUUAUCCACUCCACUCCAAGCCUCCUCCGGCAUGUACCAACCCAGCCUAGAUUUCUCAGCGCAUAAUGUAAUAAACUAUUAGCCAAACUAUGGUUACAAGAGCCAAUAAAAAUCCAUUUCCCAAACUGUUGUUUCCAAGCACAGGAUCACAACCACUGCACGCAACAGACGCUGCUAUAAGCAGACAGGCUGCUAUUUACUGUCAUCAUAGAAAAUAUAAAAUGCUAAAUAUUGCAACAAAUUCAGUUACAAACAGAGACCGAAUCAUAAAUCCUAAUAGGAAGAUUAAUAUACUACAAAGCUGAUUUGCUGAAGCUAUAUAUGUAGCAGAAACAGUGAAACACUAAAAUGAGUGUGAAGCUUGCAGUCCUUGAGAUCAACUAGUCCUUGUCUGCAAUCUAACCAAUGUAGUGUCCAAUCCUUUCUCAGAGCUGGAGAUAAGGCACCUGCAGUCAAAUAACACUUUUAAAAAAAUCAAAACAAGACACAAAGUCAACGUAUAUAGCUUAAACAGGAUGCUCAAUAGGUUUUAACAUGUGAUGCCCAACAGGUUUCAAUACUGAUGCAUCACAACUCUAAAACAACAGAUGUACAAUGUGAUUUGCUAUAGCAUGAUGUAAGAACCAUUGCACCUUAAUAUAUAACUGAACAAACUAAACCAUUGCCCCUUUGUCUAGCAAAUUAAUAUUCUGCAUUAAUGUAACUAAACAAACUAAACCAGAACUUACAUAAGGCAAGAACUUCACGAGAGUGCAGGACCUUGACUAGGAUCUUGACCUCCAAAUAAUAUGUUUGUACCUGAUGCAUUGACAAAUAUUUUUCAGGGACUUAUUACUACUACGGUAACCUAUGCAAGGAACAAAAAGUAUAAUUAACUUUUCAUCUAGGAUGAGUGUGUUGGGCUGUACCUGAUGGAAUAACUAAUUCCAGGUAGAAUGAGUGUGUUCGUCCAUGCGGUCGCAUCUUGCUGUUUUUUCCGAGGAGGCCGCGGCGGCGCUGUCCCCGACGAGCCUCGCGGGGGUGUGGGCGGCGGCGGGCUAGCUGGAGCUGGGCGCAGGGUGGGGACCCUACGGCGUAGCCUGCGCCGCGGAGGACUGCUUCUUCCAGGAGGUGGCCAUGGACCACGGGCGCGCCACGCAGGUGCUGCGGUCGUGCGCCGUGUUUCUGGGCGGCGAGGUAGCCGGGCCUGCCGCGGCCCUGCUCGCCCGGUGCCUGGAGGUGCUCGCGGCGUCCACAGAUGCGGGGUUCGACGGGGCCGGAGCUGGCGGUAGGAGUUGCGACGGCGCGGCCACAAGCGAGAGCCCAGAUGCAGUCCCGCCGUCGCCGCCGCGGACGGCGAGCUCCUCGAGGACAACCAGUGGUGGUAGGCGCUUCUUGUAAUACUGGGACGAGCAGGAGGUGGAGCUGACGGCCGGGAAGCAGUGGCAAGGCGGAGGUAGCGACUGCGGUGGCAGCAGGCGAAGGCGAGGGUUUGCCAUAUGAAGAAUCAUAAUCGUUGUCUCUCUCUCGUCUUAUGUGCAGUUAGACGGGAUGGGCUUGGCUGCUCGCUGCAAGCGGCUCGUUGUGAUAAAAUCACGAUACAACGCAUGGUUGCUACCCGUUAGAAAUUGAAUAGUUACAAUCCCACACCGAGUCCGCACCAAACUGCUAUAGGCCUGGAACCUAUACCAAAUCAAUUCGCUUGCAGUGUCGGCUUAUUAGCAUCCAUCCUAAAUUAAGACCGAAGCAAAAUCCAAACUGUUAUAGUUAUUCCAGCUCAAACCGUUUGCAUGGCGAGAUAUAAGUGACGCGUGAGAGAAAAUAAUGAAUGAUGUUUUAAAUCUGAACUCCCAUAUUUCACGCAAUAAAAUAUCACAUGGUAUGGUGAUGGAUUUUUCCUUAUUUUCCUAAACGGCAUUAAACGGCCGUUUAGACGGGUCUAAACGGUAGACGAGGCAUUGACGUUUAGUUUAGGCCCUAGGCAGAAAAAUUAAACGUUGACCGGUUUAAACGGUCAGCGCAUGUUUAAACGGCCGAAACGGAACGGUGCCUGGGCGAUUUUAAACGCCGUUUGGGCCGUUUUUCUGUCCGUUUCGGAGUUGGGCCAUUUUCAACUCCCAACCCGCCACGAGCCCACGAGCCCACGAGCGCUCUCCAGCCUCCACUUUUCUCAACCCCCGCCUGGCCGCCUCCAUCUCCCAGCCUCCCUGGUGCCCGCCGCCACCCAGGGAGGAGUCGCCGGAGCACAGGGCCGCCGCCCAGGGAGGCGCGCCCGCCCAGAAGCUUUCCUCCGCGCCCUGCCGUCGCCCUCACCGUGGAGCUCUCCGCCGGCGCCCUACCCUCACCCAGGCAGUCUACUCCGGCGCCCUGCCUGUCGGUGUUUAACCGGCUGCCCACCGCGGGGUAUACCCAAGGUGGUAAGUUUUGGGUGAGGGGACGCCGAGAUCAGGAACUCGAAGGUGCAAGGAACACAAGACUUAGACAGGUUCGGGCCACACGGAGCGUAACACCCUACGUCCUAUAUGGUUUGUAUUGCCUUCUGUAUAGAAUGACCUAAUGAUCUUCUGUUUUGAGGGGGGUCCCUGACCUCCCUUAUAUAUCCGAGAGGCCGGGGUUACAAAGAUGCUAACCAACCCCCUCCGAGGGAUCACACCCAAACUGAUCUCGAGUAGAUCCUCUCUGUGUUGGUUAGCUCUAUCUCCUAUUUAAACGGGAUAAACAAGAGAUAAACAAAACAAAUAAGAGACAAGACGGGCUUAAUCUCUUAAACUUCGUAACGUGCCCAGCCCGGUGGCCUCGGGUCUGACAAGCCCCCGAGCUCUUCGUAGCUGAGCACUGCAGGCUUAUUGAGUACUUUCGAAGCAGUCUUCGACUUCUUUCUGACGAUUCGUCCUGAAGUCCUUCUUCGAGUACUUGCUUGGCUGCAUCGAAGCUAUGAGGUGCUCAUGCCCCGAAUUUUAUUUCUGAUAUGGCGUAGCCCCCGAGCCUUAGGUUGAUCCGGAGAAUCAGGCUGGGGAUCCCGCUUGUCAGUAGUCUUCCUUACCCUUCAAAGAAAUUUGAAAAAUAAGUAGUCGAUGCCACGUACCCCGCAGCCCCCGAGCCUUGAAUCCAAAUCCCACAAAGUUUGGAGAUAAGGGUCCAAAAAUCGUGGCAUGCAGGCUAAACAAUGACACGUUAAUGAGGAAAACGAAGGGACGGUACAAAUGAUGUAACUAGACCAAAGAUUCGAAAAACCCCUUUUUCCGGGCUUAUUAGCCCUGAAAAAAUGAUUAAUCAAAUAUGCAAUCUAAUCAAAUCACCAAAUGACCCCUCAUCUUCGGAUUAGUCCAUGAAACGGCGCUUGACCUUCAGAACAGUAAUUUUCCCCCACUCCGCUGGUUAUUUAACCCCGCGAUGACUGGAGGGAAAAACCACGCUUUCAAUCUGCAUUCCAUCGAGAAUCACCAAAUUCCCCAAACCAAGCGCCGCCGCCUUCCCCCAAGAAGAGCUCCCACCCCGACCUCCCCGCCCCUCUCCCCGCAGCCCCGAGCAUCUCGUGGCCGGCGCAUCGGAGAUGACGUCCAAGAAGUCGGAGAUCGAGGGAGUGAAGAAGGAUGCGGAACCAACAACCGCGGAGUGGACACACAGUAAGUGCUCCCUCAACAAUCUGAAAAAACUUGUUUCCGAGGGGUUGCUGCAAGAGAAAAAUCUCGUCAACUGGCGCCCCUCUUUCCGUGAACCGUUCCCCAUGGAGAAUGUCGACGAAAUCGUCACAUUCUACCAUUUUGCCGAACGGGGAUUGGCCCUCCCCACUUGUUCUUUCUUCCGCGGCCUUCUUUACUACUACGGGCUUGAGCUCCAUCACCUCAACCCGAAUUCCAUCUGCCACAUCUCCAUUUUCAUCCACUUUUGUGAAGCAUUUCUCGGAAUUGAGCCCCACUGGGAUCUAUUCCGCUUCCUUUUCCGUUUGAAACCCCAACCGACCACGAAAAAACUCGCUGUGGUAGGGGGCGCCGGCAUCCAACUGCGACAGCAGGCCGGCGAAAAAUACCUUGCAUAUAAAUUCCCCUCCAACCUUCCUGGAUGGAAAAACCUCUGGUUCUACAUCGUGAACCAUGCGCCCCCCUGCCGACGAAGUCGAGCAAACCGCCCGUGGUGAGGGGGGAAUGGAACCUUGAACCCUCCGGCAUGGAAAUGAUCCAAGUCAAGGAGCUGCUGGAGGCCAUCGACGCACUGAGGAAGGAGGGGGUGACCGGCGCCUCCGUCAUGUUCUCCUUUCACAAGCGCCGCGUCCAACCCAUCCAACAGAGAUGUUGCCUGGGCUUCGAGUACACCGGCCCUGCUGACCCUUCUCGCAUGUGCACAGAAGAGGUGCCAGAUGAAGUCGCGCUCCAGCGGGUUCAGCGGGUGCUGCUGGACGUGAACACCGUGCCGUACGUGCCCACCCUGUACUCCGCGCAACAUCCGCCCCCGCCGGUAAGUGCUCGACUUCUUGUUGCCGAAGAAAUCGACUACUGCGCCGAUACUGAACUGAGGGACUUUCCGCAGGGACACUCGGAACUGUACUGCAGCUACCCGCCGCAGCCGGACCUCCCCCGAGCGUAUCACCUCCUUCCUUCUGCAGUUACGGCGGCCAAGAAAGCUCGCCUUGCUGCGAUCCAGAGCCGCAACGAUGCCACCGAACGCGGGGUCUCGCCAGCGGGGGAAGAAGCCGAGGGAGGCCCGCGCCCUGUUGCCGCCGUUGCCACCAAGGCGGCUCGCCAUGCUGCAGUUCAAGGCAGCAGCGAGUCCACCGGGUGCGUGGGCUCGCAGGCGAGUGAAGGGACCGUGGAGGAACCGCACGGGGACAACUCCUCCGAUCAGAGCGUGGAGUUGACCGACGCUCUGCCACCGGUGCCGAAGGGCCAGCGCCAGGUGCGCAAACGCAAGGCUCAAGAAGUCGAGUCCUCCAGGUACGGAAUUACUGUGUUGGCUAAUUCCAAAGUUUCCAUGGUGCUGAGAACUGACAGCGUCCCCUUGCAGCCUCCCUGCUCCGCCGCCCGGGACGGAGCCCGAAGGGGUGGGGGCGGGCCCUUCUGCCGCCACGACGGUGACCAUCGCCGUGGCGGGGACCCCUCCAUCGGCCGAUCAGACCCCUCCGUCCGCGGCGGGCGUCCCCCGUCGGGCCUGGCGGGUGAAGAAGGCUGCCAAGAAGAAGUCGACACUGUGAGUUUUGCUUCGAUCGCUUGGAAAGCUUGGCCGCGCCUGCGUGAAUAACCAUGUUGUCGAUGUCGCCAGGGCUGCAAGUGCGGUGCAACUCCAGCUGGAACCGGGCAGGGCUGCGGCGCUUGCCUCGGCUGCAGCAGCCCCCGGGCCCUCGGCGCCUGGGGGGCCUGUACUCGCAGAGGCGGCCCCUGAAGCGGAUGUGGGGCUCCCCGACUUGCCGCCUCCCGAGUCCCAACAAGGAGGAGCCGGGCCCGGUGGCGAUGAACAAGUCGUGGCCCCGGAAGCGGAUGUGGGGCUCCCCGACUCGCCGCCUCCCGGGUCCAGGCAAGAGGGAGCCGGGCCCAGUGGCGGGGAACAAGUCGUGGCCCCUGGUGCCGCUCCUGCCAGUGGUACAGGUGCGCGCUUACCCGCCCGCGGCUUGAUGCCAGGGUCCGAGGGCAAUAUGGUGACUACUUCGUAUGCUUGCAGGUGUCCAGCCGCCGCCGUCCGGGGAUGCCGCCGGGCCCUCGGAGGGUCCCCGUGAGGUGCUGAGGACCGGGCCAGGGUACCAGAACAUCAUCACCACCGACCUGGUGGAUGAUCUUCUGCUAACGGCCGAGAAUCUGGAGACCUUCAAGAGCACCUUCAAGGAGUUAUACAACUUCUCCAUGGUAGUACUCGCGUAAAGUUCCAGGUGUGUGCAUUGGUGAGUUGUUUAGUACUCAUUCUCCUCCUUUGGCGCAGCAUGUGAUUACUAAAUCCCAGAAGAAGUCGGAGAAACUCCGCGCGGUUGUGAGCGAUGCGCGGGAGUUAGGUGCCCUGCA